rnacentral:rRNA from 1 species
UAGAGUUUGAUCCUGGCUCAGAUUGAACGCUGGCGGCAGGCCUAACACAUGCAAGUCGAGCGGAAACGGCACUAACAAUCCUUCGGGUGCGUUAAUGGGCGUCGAGCGGCGGACGGGUGAGUAAUGCCUAGGAAAUUGCCUUGAUGUGGGGGAUAACCAUUGGAAACGAUGGCUAAUACCGCAUAAUGCCUAAGGGCCAAAGAGGGGGACCUUCGGGCCUCUCGCGUCAAGAUAUGCCUAGGUGGGAUUAGCUAGUUGGUGAGGUAAUGGCUCACCAAGGCGACGAUCCCUAGCUGGUCUGAGAGGAUGAUCAGCCACACUGGAACUGAGACACGGUCCAGACUCCUACGGGAGGCAGCAGUGGGGAAUAUUGCACAAUGGGCGAAAGCCUGAUGCAGCCAUGCCGCGUGUAUGAAGAAGGCCUUCGGGUUGUAAAGUACUUUCAGUUGUGAGGAAGGGGGUAGCGUUAAUAGCGCUAUCUCUUGACGUUAGCAACAGAAGAAGCACCGGCUAACUUCGUGCCAGCAGCCGCGGUAAUACGAGGGGUGCAAGCGUUAAUCGGAAUUACUGGGCGUAAAGCGUUCGUAGGCGGUUGAAUAAGCAAGAUGUGAAAGCCCAGGGCUCAACCUUGGAACUGCAUUUUGAACUGUUCGACUAGAGUACUGUAGAGGGGGGUAGAAUUUCA